AUUGAACGCUGGCGGCAGGCUUAACACAUGCAAGUCGAGCGGGGUGAUGGUGCUUGCACUAUCACUUAGCGGCGGACGGGUGAGUAAUGCUUAGGAAUCUGCCUAUUAGUGGGGGACAACAUCUCGAAAGGGAUGCUGAUACCGCAUACGUCCUAUGGGAGAAAGCAGGGGAUCACUUGUGACCUUGCGCUAAUAGAUGAGCCUAAGUCGGAUUAGCUAGUUGGUGGGGUAAAGGCCUACCAAGGCGACGAUCUGUAGCGGGUCUGGGAGGAUGAUCCACCACCCUUGGACGGAGACACGGCCCAGACUCCUACGGGAGGCAGCAGUGGGGAAUAUUGGACAAUGGGGGGAACCCUGAUCCAGCCAUGCCGCGUGUGGGAAGAAGGACUUAUGGUUGUAAAGCACUUUAAGCGAGGAGGAGGCUCUUUUGGUUAAUACCCAAGAUGAGUGGACGUUACUCGCAGAAUAAGCACCGGCUAACUCUGUGCCAGCCGCCGCCGUAA
rnacentral:rRNA from 1 species